UACGGAGGGUGCAAGCGUUAAUCGGAAUUACUGGGCGUAAAGCGUGCGCAGGCGGUUUGUUAAGUCCGUUGUGAAAGCCCCGAGCUCAACUUGGGAAUUGCAGUGGAUACUGGCAGGCUGGAGUACGGUAGAGGAAGGUGGAAUUCCCGGUGUAGCAGUGAAAUGCGUAGAUAUCGGGAGGAAUACCAGUGGCGAAGGUGGCCUUCUGGACCAGUACUGACGCUCAUGCACGAAAGCGUGGGGAGCAAACAGG
rnacentral:rRNA from 1 species